rnacentral:rRNA from 1 species
GAUGAACGCUGACAGAGUGCUUAACACAUGCAAGUCGACUGUGGCGGACAGGUAAGUAACUCGUAAAGAACUUGCUUCACAGAAAUGGACAACAUUUGGAAAGGAAUGCUAAUACCUGAUACUGUGAGAGAGCUUUGCGUCCCAUUAGCGAGUCGGAGGGGUAACGGCUCACCAAGGCGAUGCUGGUUGGCCGGCCUGAGAGGGUGAUCGGCCACAAGGGGACUGAGACGCGGCCCUUGCGCCUCCGGGAGGAUGCACUAGGGAAUAUUGGAGCAUCGACCAAAGUCUGAUACAGCAAUUCUGUGUGAACGAUGAAUUUUUCGGAAUGUAAGGUGCUUUGAGUUGGGAAGCGGUACCAUCAGAAGAAGUGACGGCUAAAUACGUGCCAGCAGCCGCGGUAAUUC